rnacentral:lncRNA from 1 species
UAGAAGUAGACUUUUUAGGGAGGAGGGAGAAAGAAUGAGGCGUGUUACCAUAGUAACUGCCAAUGGUUUAUUUAAGAAGGGCAAAGAAACAAACACCACAAAAAGGCGAAGUCGAGAGGAGCUGGAGAUCACUGGAGGAAUCUGUCGGGACACAGACAACAUGGGGCCAGGAAAGCUCUCAUUGGGUCUGGAGCAAAUACCAAGGGCUGAAAAUGUAGAAUAGAAACUGCAU